rnacentral:rRNA from 1 species
CAGCAGCCACGGUAAUACGUAGGUGGCAAGCGUUGUCCGGAAUUAUUGGGCGUAAAGGGCUCGCAGGCGGUUUCUUAAGUCUGAUGUGAAAGCCCCCGGCUCAACCGGGGAGGGUCAUUGGAAACUGGGAAACUUGAGAGCAGAAGAGGAGAGUGGAAUUCCACGUGUAGCGGUGAAAUGCGUAGAGAUGUGGAGGAACACCAGUGGCGAAGGCGACUCUCUGGUCUGUAACUGACGCUGAGGAGCGAAAGCGUGGGGAGCGAACAGGAUUAGAUACCCCGGUAGUCCCUGUCUCUUAUAC